rnacentral:rRNA from 1 species
UCUACGGGUAGCAGCAGUGAGGAAUAUUGGUCAAUGGACGCAAGUCUGAACCAGCCAUGCCGCGUGCAGGAUGACGGCUCUAUGAGUUGUAAACUGCUUUUGUACGAGGGUAAACCCCGAUACGUGUAUCAGGCUGAAAGUCUCGUACUAAUACGGAGUGGCUCACUCCGUGCCAGCAGCCGCGGUAAUACGGGGGAUUCAAGCGUUAUCCGGAUUUAGUGGGUUUAAAGGGUUCGUAGGCGGUUGGGUAAGUUAGAGGUGAAAUGACGGGGCUCAAACUCGAAACUGCCUUUGAGACUGUUGGACUAGAGAGUAGUUGCGGUAGGCGGAAUGUAUGGUGUAGCGGUGACAUGCUUAGAGAUCAUACAGAACACCGAUUGCGAAGGCAGCUUACCAAGCUAUAUCUGACGUUGAGGCACGAAAGCGUGGGUAGCAAACAGGAUUAGAUACCCCAGUAGUC